rnacentral:rRNA from 1 species
AGGUUAGCGGCGGACGGGUGAGUAACACGUGGGCAACCUGCCCUGCAGACUGGGAUAACUUCGGGAAACCGGAGCUAAUACCGGAUAACACCGAAAACCGCAUGGUUUUCGGUUGAAAGGCGGCUUUUAGCUGUCACUGCAGGAUGGGCCCGCGGCGCAUUAGCUAGUUGGUGAGGUAACGGCUCACCAAGGCGACGAUGCGUAGCCGACCUGAGAGGGUGACCGGCCACACUGGGACUGAGACACGGCCCAGACUCCUACGGGAGGCAGCAGUAGGGAAUCUUCCGCAAUGGACGAAAGUCUGACGGAGCAACGCCGCGUGAGCGAAGAAGGUCUUCGGAUCGUAAAGCUCUGUUGUCAGGGAAGAACAAGUACCGUUCGAACAGGGCGGUACCUUGACGGUACCUGACGAGGAAGCCACGGCUAACUACGUGCCAGCAGCCGCGGUAAUACGUAGGUGGCAAGCGUUGUCCGGAAUUAUUGGGCGUAAAGCGCGCGCAGGCGGUUCCUUAAGUCUGAUGUGAAAUCUCGCGGCUCAACCGCGAGCGGCCAUUGGAAACUGGGGAACUUGAGUGCAGGAGAGGGGAGCGGAAAUUCCACGUGUAGCGGGUGAAAUGCGUAAAG